rnacentral:tRNA from 1 species
GCUCGGAGCUUAGUUGGUAAAGCGCUCGUCUAGCAUACAAGAGUCCUGGGUUCAAAUCCCAGCCGAGCA